rnacentral:misc_RNA from 1 species
GAAGUAAAAGUCGUAACAAGGUUUCCGUAGGUGAACCUGCGGAAGGAUCAUUACUGAUUUGCUUAAUUGCACCACAUGUGUUUUUUAUUGAACAAAUUUCUUUGGUGGCGGGAGCAAUCCUACCGCCAGAGGUUAUAACUAAACCAAACUUUUUAUUUACAGUCAAACUUGAUUUAUUAUUACAAUAGUCAAAACUUUCAACAACGGAUCUCUUGGUUCUCGCAUCGAUGAAGAACGCAGCGAAAUGCGAUACGUAAUAUGAAUUGCAGAUAUUCGUGAAUCAUCGAAUCUUUGAACGCACAUUGCGCCCUUUGGUAUUCCAAAGGGCAUGCCUGUUUGAGCGUCAUUUCUCCCUCAAACCCCCGGGUUUGGUGUUGAGCAAUACGCUAGGUUUGUUUGAAAGAAUUUAACGUGGAAACUUAUUUUAAGCGACUUAGGUUUAUCCAAAACGCUUAUUUUGCUAGUGGCCACCACAAUUUAUUUCAUAACUUUGACCUCAAAUCAGGUAGGACUACCCGCUGAACUUAAGCAUAUCAAUAAGCGGAGGAA